rnacentral:rRNA from 1 species
GUGCCAGCAGCCGCGGUAAUACGAAGGGUGCAAGCGUUACUCGGAAUUACUGGGCGUAAAGCGUGCGUAGGCGGUUUGUUAAGUCUGUCGUGAAAGCCCCGGGCUCAACCUGGGAAUGGCGAUGGAAACUGGCGAGCUAGAGUACGGUAGAGGAGAGUGGAAUUCCCGGUGUAGCAGUGAAAUGCGUAGAGAUCGGGAGGAACAUCAGUUGCGAAGGCGGCUCUCUGGACCAGUACUGACGCUGAGGCACGAAAGCGUGGGGAGCAAACAGGAUUAGAUACCCUGGUAGUCCACGCCCUAAACGAUGCGAACUGGACGUUGGGAGCAAUUAGGCUCUCAGUGUCGAAGCUAACGCGUUAAGUUCGCCGCCUGGGGAGUACGGUCGCAAGACUGAAACUCAAAGGAAUUGACGGGGGCCCGCACAAGCGGUGGAGUAUGUGGUUUAAUUCGAUGCAACGCGAAGAACCUUACCUGGCCUUGACAUCCAUGGAAUC